AUUGGAGAAAAGCAGGGGAUCGCAAGACCUUGCGCUUUUGGAGCGGCCGAUGUCUGAUUAGCUAGUUGCUGAGGUAAAGGCUUACCAAGGCUUCGAUCAUUAGCUGGUCUGAGAGGACGACCAGCCACACUGGGACUGAGACACGGCCCAGACUCCUACGGGAGGCAGCAGUGGGGAAUUUUGGACAAUGGGGGAAACCCUGAUCCAGCCAUGCCGCGUGAGUGAAGAAGGCCUUCGGGUUGUAAAGCUCUUUCAGCCGGAACGAAAAGGUCACGGCUAAUACCCGUGACAAAUGACGGUACCGGAAGAAGAAGCACCGGCUAACUACGUGCCAGCAGCCGCGGUAAUACGUAGGGUGCAAGCGUUAAUCGGAAUUACUGGGCGUAAAGCGUGCGCAGGCGGUUUUGUAAGUCAGAUGUGGAAUCCCCGGGCUUAACCUGGGAACUGCGUUCGAAACUACAAGGCUAGAAU
rnacentral:rRNA from 1 species